GGCAGUAAAGUAUCCAGUAGUUGGUCACAUUCAAUGAAAUAUACUCCUAUAUCUCACUUGUAUAUCAUACCAGUCUUUUCACACCACUUGAUUAUGAGGACAACUAACAGAUAUGACAUAUAACGACCUAUACUCGAUAAAUGCUAUCAUCCUAGUAAUAGCAUACCAUUUGAUCGUGAACUAAAUUUAAAGACUAAAUGAUAUAUCCUUCUAUAUCGAUUAGGAUAGUCCUAAGGAUUUCGUCACAAUAAUUAGAGUUUAUUAAGAAAAUGUACACUACUUUGUGAUAAAAAAGUUAAAUAAUAAUUUUAU
rnacentral:lncRNA from 1 species